rnacentral:rRNA from 1 species
GAUGAACGCUGGCGGCGUGCUUAACACAUGCAAGUCGAACGGGAAAUAUUUCAUUGAGACUUUGGUGGAUUUGAUCUAUUUCUAGUGGCGGACGGGUGAGUAACGCGUGGGUAACCUGCCUUAUACAGGGGGAUAACAGUCAGAAAUGGCUGCUAAUACCGCAUAAGCGCACAGAGCUGCAUGGCUCAGUGUGAAAAACUCCGGUGGUAUAAGAUGGACCCGCGUUGGAUUAGCUUGUUGGUGGGGUAACGGCCCACCAAGGCGACGAUCCAUAGCCGGCCUGAGAGGGUGAACGGCCACAUUGGGACUGAGACACGGCCCAGACUCCUACGGGAGGCAGCAGUGGGGAAUAUUGCACAAUGGGGGAAACCCUGAUGUAGCGACGCCGCGUGAAGGAAGAAGUAUCUCGGUAUGUAAACUUCUAUCAGCAGGGAAGAUAGUGACGGUACCUGACUAAGAAGCCCCGGCUAACUACGUGCCAGCAGCCGCGGUAA